GAACUUAUUAGGCUACCAUUCAAUGGUUUUUAUAAUAGGAGUUGUUUGGUUUAUAUUGUCUUUGUUAUAUAAGAACCUUCAUAUAUUGUCUUUGUCACCAAUCAGUCCCUGUAACUUCUGACAAGUUUUGGUUUCUUACAAAGGAUAUGCAUUUUCACUGCCAUAUCCUUUUAGUAAUAAGGGAAAUUAUGUUAUAAGGUAGUUCAAAAUCGUGUUAUUGGUUGCCAUGAAUUUUGCACCAUUAUCAUUUGCCUUUUGUUUUUCUCUCUUUAGUUCUGCUGGAAUUUAUCAAGAAAGCACUAACUUUCUUUAUUUUCAUUAUUUUUUUUGUCAAUACUUAUUUUCAUUAUUUUUUUUUUAAUAGAAUAAACGUUUGAUUUAAUGUAUCUUUCAUGUAUAAUACUCUUUGUGAUACAUUACAGUUAUGCUUCAACUUCCAAAAAAAGCUCUUGACUGUGGACAUUGUGAUGUAGUUUAAGUCAAUUAGUACAAUGGAUGGGAGUGAAGGUAGAAGAGUUGGGGGUAGAAAUAUAUCCAGGCUUUGCAACUAGUUAGGUAUUAUAUGAUUCAAACGACAUGUUUAUUGGCAUUGGAACAAAUGAUAUGGCAGUUGCAAAAGAUGGUUCAAAGAAGGCAAAUUUCCAACAUAGCAUAGAACUGUUUCUCGUUUGGUUUGCCUCUUCUUCUAUGCUUUGUAUCUCUCGCCCUAUAUGCUGAUAAAACCUCAUUCCAAAGAAAAUUCCAUUUAGAGAUUUAGUUCGGAUUUUAUUACUUUUGAUUUUUUGUUCUAAUAACUUAGGAUUUUAUUACUCUAGUUUUUUCACAGGUUUUAGAUAACGAGGAUGAUGAAGUGGGAGUCAGCAGAACAGCAAGUGCGACUCUGCUAUCUAUCUUAAAACUUCAUCAAACCAAAAAAUUCCUUUGCCGACAAUGAAAAGGGUGUGUCUUCUUUACCAACAACAUCAAAUAUGGCAUGGCAUGCCAAAUUCGUUUCAAGGUUUAUAGGUCAGUGGGUCUCACGUGUGGGUGUGUACUCAAUAUCAUUUCAUAUUUCAAUUGUUCAACCACUCAAACAAUUGAAAGCUUUUAGAAAGAUUUUUGGAAGAUUAAAUUAUAACUAUGUCAUGUUUAGUUGAGCACGCUUUGGGCUGCUAUGAUUGAAAAUGUAAAUUUUCAGCUGUUCUUGCUUUUCCCCUGUAUUUUCAUAUGAUGUUUUGGGCUGCUAUGAUUCCUAUUUUACACCUUU